GGAUGUAAUGAUGCCUAACAUCUUUCGGGACCUAAAGCUAUUUGCGGAUAUUUACUCAAACUGAACAUCC